rnacentral:rRNA from 1 species
AGAGUUUGAUCAUGGCUCAGAUUGAACGCUGGCGGCAUGCCUUACACAUGCAAGUCGAACGGCAGCGCGGGGCAACCUGGCGGCGAGUGGCGAACGGGUGAGUAAUAUAUCGGAACGUACCCUGGAGUGGGGGAUAACGUAGCGAAAGUUACGCUAAUACCGCAUACGAUCUAAGGAUGAAAGUGGGGGAUCGCAAGACCUCAUGCUCCUGGAGCGGCCGAUAUCUGAUUAGCUAGUUGGUGGGGUAAAGGCCUACCAAGGCAUCGAUCAGUAGCUGGUCUGAGAGGACGACCAGCCACACUGGAACUGAGACACGGUCCAGACUCCUACGGGAGGCAGCAGUGGGGAAUUUUGGACAAUGGGCGAAAGCCUGAUCCAGCAAUGCCGCGUGAGUGAAGAAGGCCUUCGGGUUGUAAAGCUCUUUUGUCAGGGAAGAAACGGCGGUUUCUAAUACAGAUCGCUAAUGACGGUACCUGAAGAAUAAGCACCGGCUAACUACGUGCCAGCAGCCGCGGUAAUACGUAGGGUGCAAGCGUUAAUCGGAAUUACUGGGCGUAAAGCGUGCGCAGGCGGUUUUGUAAGUCUGUCGUGAAAUCCCCGGGCUCAACCUGGGAAUUGCGAUGGAGACUGCAAGGCUAGAAUCUGGCAGAGGGGGGUAGAAUUCCACGUAGCAGUGAAAUGCGUAGAGAUGUGGAGGAACACCGAUGGCGAAGGCAGCCCCCUGGGUCAAGAUUGACGCUCAUGCACGAAAGCGUGGGGAGCAAACAGGAUUAGAUACCCUAGUAGUCC